UACGGGGGGAGCAAGCGUUGUUCGGAUUUACUGGGCGUAAAGGGCGCGUAGGCGGCCACCGCAAGUCGGUUGUGAAAUCUCCGGGCUUAACCCGGAAAGGUCAAUCGAUACUGCGGGGCUAGAGUGCAGAAGGGGCAACUGGAAUUCUCGGUGUAGCGGUGAAAUGCGUAGAUAUCGAGAGGAACACCUGCGGCGAAGGCGGAUCUCUGGGCCUUACCUGACGCUCAGGCGCGAAAGCUAGGGGAGCGAACUGG
rnacentral:rRNA from 1 species